AAUGAGAAAGAGAUGAAUGUUAAUGGUGGAGUAGUAGUAGAGGUGAAAGAAGAACCAGUUAUAUUUAUUAAUGAUGAAGAUGACAUUAUUGGGGAUUCAGUACCAAAGCCUUUGGAUGGGUUGCGUGAUGUAGGUCCACCUCCGUUUUUGAAGAAGACGUUUGAAAUGGUGGAUGAUCCAAAUACCGACUCUAUAAUCUCAUGGAGUAACAGUCAAAACAGCUUUGUUGUUUGGGAUCCUCACAAAUUUUCAAUUCAUCUUCUACCUAAACAUUUUAAGCACAACAACUUCUCUAGCUUUAUCCGCCAGCUCAAUACCUAUCGUUUCAGGAAAAUUGAUUCAGAUAGAUGGGAAUUUGCAAAUGAGGGUUUUCAGAAAGGGAAAAAGCAUUUGCUGAUAAAUAUCAAGAGAAGAAAGCAGUAUCCUCAACUAGGAGGAGGAGGUGGUGGAGGAGCAAAAUCUUGGGUAGGAGGUUGUUGCAAGGAUGGAACUGAAGCAGCAGAGAUAGAAAAGCUGAAAAAGGAUCACAACACUUUGAAGAUGGAAAUUCUGAAGCUUAAACAGCAACAAGAGAGCACUGAUAACUAUUUAGCUACUAUGAAGGAGAGGUUACAGAAUAGUGAGAUUAAACAAAAGUAUAUGGUGAUCUUCCUGGCGAAAACGUUCCACAACCCUAUGUUUGUUCAACAUCUGAUUGAAAAGGUGAAACAGGGGAAGACAACAACGGUUGAGAAUGGGACCAAGAAGAGAAGGUUGUGUAGUGAUGAAAAUCAAGAGGAGUACACAACAAUUAAGUCGGAGAUACAAACACUCUUCUCUUGUGAUGAAUCGUCGAAUAGUCCAGUUGAGGAACAAAAAGGCAAGGGAAAUAACAGCAGCCCGGAGAUGGUAUCUGAGAACUAUAUAUUGUGGGAGAAGUUGAUGGAGGAUGACAUGAUUUGUGAGAAUGGAGCAGAAACAGAUAAGUAUCAAAGUGAGAUUGUUCUUGAACUAGAGGAUUUGAUCUCGAACCCAUCCGAGUGCAAGUGUAUGCCUUAAAUGAGCGAGAGUUAGGAUGGUCCAACAGAUAGCUAGCUUAAGAAAAUCACAAUGAAUGUUUUAUCAGUUGGUAGUAACUAACAAUGUAUAAAGGUUUUUACAGAAGAUGAAGAAAAUUAAGUAGUUUGAUAGGGGUUUGGUGAAGAGGAGAAUAUUGUAGAACAAGAAUAUGAAUGUUAGUUUCAUGCAUAGUAUUAGUAAAUAUA
rnacentral:misc_RNA from 1 species